rnacentral:rRNA from 1 species
GAUGAACGCUGGCGGCGUGCCUAAUACAUGCAAGUCGAGCGAACAGACGAGGAGCUUGCUCCUCUGACGUUAGCGGCGGACGGGUGAGUAACACGUGGAUAACCUACCUAUAAGACUGGGAUAACUUCGGGAAACCGGAGCUAAUACCGGAUAAUAUAUUGAACCGCAUGGUUCAAUAGUGAAAGACGGUUUUGCUGUCACUUAUAGAUGGAUCCGCGCCGCAUUAGCUAGUUGGUAAGGUAACGGCUUACCAAGGCGACGAUGCGUAGCCGACCUGAGAGGGUGAUCGGCCACACUGGAACUGAGACACGGUCCAGACGCCUACGGGAGGCAGCAGUAGGGAAGCGUCCGCGAUGGGCGGAAGCCUGACGGAGCAGCGCCGCGGGAGUGAUGAAGGUCUUCGGAUCGUGAAACUCUGUUAUUAGGGAAGAACAAAUGUGUAAGUAACUAUGCACGUCUUGACGGUACCUAAUCAGAAAGCCACGGCUAACUACGUG